GAAAGUAAGUAAGGGCGUAUGGGGGAUGCCUAGGCUCUUGGAGGCUAAGAAGGACGUGGUAAGCUGCGAAAAGCUGCGGGGAUUUGCAAACGAGACUCGAUCCGCAGAUAUCCGAAUGGGACAACCCGGCAGGUAGAAGACCUGUCACACCGCGAGGUGAGCUAACCCUCUGAACUGAAACAUCUAAGUAGGAGGAGGAAAAGAAAGAAACAUCGAUUUCCAAAGUAGCGGCGAGCGAAAUGGAAGAAGCCCAAACCGAUAUUGUUACGGCAAUAUCGGGGUUGUAGGACUGCAAUAUUCAAUUAACAAUGAACUGGAAUGGUCUGGAAAGUCCAUCCAUAGAGAGUGAAAGGCUCGUACAGGUAAGUUUGUUAUGCGAAAGCAGUAUCCUGAGUAUGGCGGGACACGAGGAAUCCUGUCAGAAUCAGCCGGGACCACCCGGUAAGGCUAAAUACUCCCAAGAGACCGAUAGUGGACCAGUACUGUGAAGGAAAGGUGAAAAGAACCCCGAACAGGGGAGUGAAAUAGAACCUGAAACCAUACGCUUACAACCGGUCGGAGCAGCUUCGUGCUGUGACGGCGUGCCUAUUGAAUAAUGAGCCUACGAGUUACUAAUCACUAGCGAGGUUAAGUGCAAGGAUGCACGGAGCCGAAGCGAAAGCGAGUCUGAACAGGGCGUUUAGUUAGUGGUUGUAGACGCGAAACCUUGCGAUCUACCCUUGAGCAGGUUGAAGGUUGGGUAAAACCAACUGGAGGACCGAACGAAUAAGCGUUGAAAAGCUUCUCGAUGACUUGAGGGUAGGGGUGAAAGGCUAAUCAAGCUGGGAAAUAGCUCGUACUCCCCGAAAUGCCUUUUGGGGCAGCGUUGUAAUAAAGAGUCUACUGGAGGUAGAGCUACUGAUUGGAUGCGGGGGCUUCACCGCCUACCAAAUCCUGACAAACUCCGAAUGCCAGUAGUAUGAUUUACAGCAGUGAGUGACUGGGUGCUAAUGUCCAGUCGCAAAAGAGGAACAACUCAGACCAGCAACUAAGGUCCCGAAGAAUAUGCUAAGUUGAUCUAACGAUGUUUUGUUGCAGAGACAGCUAGGAUGUUAGCUUGGAAGCAGCUAUUCAUUCAAAGAGUGCGUAACAGCUCACUAGUCGAGCGACAGAGCGUGGAUAAUAAACGGGCAUCAAGCAUAUCACCGAAGUUCUGGGCGCGAGAGCGCGGUAGGGGAGCAUUCCAUUCAGCGUCGAAGCAGUUUCGUGAGGAAUUGUGGAGCGUAUGGAAAAGCAAAUGUAGGCAUGAGUAACGAUAAUGCGGGAGAGUAACCCGCACACCGCAAGACCAAGGUUUCCUGAUCAACGCUAAUCGGAUCAGGGUUAGUCGGGUCCUAAGGGUAAGCCGAACGGCGAUCUCGAUGGAUAAUCGGUUAAUAUUCCGAUACUAACAUAUACCUCGAUGGAGAGACGAAGGAACGUAAGUGCCGCCACCUGACGGAAUAGGUGGUUAAAGGGCGUAGAUAUAGGGGCAGAUUAAGAGUUAGUCCUUGCUGAAACCUGACAGUACAGAGAGCCUACGGGCAAUUUGAUAGAGCACCCAAGUCGACUUCCGAGAAAAUCUUCUAAGUUAUAGUAUAUGUUACCCGUACCGUAAACCGACACAGGUGGUCGAGGAGAGUAUCCUAAGGUGCUCGAGUGAAUCACGGUUAAGGAACUAGGCAAAUUAACCCCGUAACUUCGGGAAAAGGGGUCCCUAUGAAAGUAGGGCGCAGCGAAGAGGUCCAGGCGACUGUUUAUCAAAAACACAGGGCUCUGCAAAUUCGAAAGAAGACGUAUAGGGCCUGACACCUGCCCGGUGCUGGAAGGUUAAGAGGGGAUGUCAUCGCAAGAGAAGCAUUGAAUCGAAGCCCCAGUAAACGGCGGCCGUAACUAUAACGGUCCUAAGGUAGCGAAAUUCCUUGUCGGGUAAGUUCCGACCUG
rnacentral:rRNA from 1 species